rnacentral:lncRNA from 1 species
GCAACCUUUUUAGAGCCCUUGUUGCUAAAAAAUUGUUCUAUAGAAUAAUGUAACGAAAUGCCUAUAAAUUAGAGCACUCUCUCUCUCCUUACAAGUCGAUUAUACAAUAAACUCAAGGGGGAGAGAGGGUUGUGCCAUUGGCGAAAUGCAAAUUGAGGCCUCAGCAUAUAUAGCUGAAAAUGCAAACAUCAGUUACUUUCAUGCAAGACUUUUACACAGUUUACGAAUAUAAAAUAAACAUCAAAUAUGUUUUUCAAACCCAGUGAAC